rnacentral:tRNA from 1 species
CACUAAGUGUCUGAAGUAAGUUGUGGUCUCUUAAACCAUUUAUAGUAAAUAACAUAUACUCUUAGUGA